GACGAACGCUGGCGGCGUGCUUAACACAUGCAAGUCGAACGGAAAGGCCCUGCUUUUGUGGGGUGCUCGAGUGGCGAACGGGUGAGUAACACGUGAGUAACCUGCUCUUGACUUUGGGAUAACUUCAGGAAACGGGGGCUAAUACCGGAUAGGAUCUCCUGCUGCAGUGUGGGGGUGGGAACGUUGGGGCGUGUGGGGCUGGACGCGCGGCUUAUCAGCUGGUUGGUGGGGUAGGUGCUUACCAAGGCUUGGACGGGUAGCCGGCCUGGGAGAGUGACCGGGCUCAUUGGGCCUGCGAUACGGACCAGUCUCCUACAGUAGGCAGCAGUGGGGAACCUUGCCCAAUCGGCCCGAGCCUGAUGCGGCAACGCCGCGUUCGGGAUGCCCGCCUUCGGGUUGUAAACAGCUUUCGCCUGUGACGCCGCGUGAGUGACGGUACUGGGUGAAGAAGCACCGGCUAACUACGUG
rnacentral:rRNA from 1 species